rnacentral:tRNA from 1 species
GGAGGCGUGGCUGAGUGGUUGAAGGCACCGGUUUCGAAAACCGGCAUUGGGGAAACUCAAUCGUGAGUUCAAAUCUCACCGCCUCCGCAA